AGCCACGCGGUGAGCCCAAAGCAAACUAUUCUUUUGCCUUUUUACUAAAGAAUACUGUGUGCUCGCCGCAAAUAGCGGCAUACGCUAGUUUUUGGAGGGUUUUCUUCUGAAGAGGAAG